GACGAACGCUGGCGGCGUGGAUUAGGCAUGCAAGUCGAACGGUAUCAUCCUUUCGGGGGUGAGAGAGUGGCGAACUGGUGAGUAACACGUAGGUUAUCUACCCUCAAGACGGGGACAACCCAGGGAAACUUGGGCUAAUACCGGAUGUGAGCAACUUUUAGUUGUUUGAAAGGUGGCGUAAGCUGUCGCUUGGGGAUGAGCCUGCGUCCUAUUAGUUAGUUGGUGAGGUAACGGCUCACCUAGGCAAUGAUAGGUAGGCGGCCUUAACGGGUGGUCGCCCACACUGGGAUUGAGAUACGGCCCAGACUCCUACGGGAGGCAGCAGUGGGGAAUAUUGCGCAAUGGGGGGAACCCUGACGCAGCAACGCCGCGUGAAGGAGAAGGCCUUCGGGUUGUAAACUUCUUUUCUGUCAGAAGAAUAAGCUUGUCGAGACGAGUGAUGCCGGUAUGACAGGGAAUAAGCAUCGGCUAACUCCGUG
rnacentral:rRNA from 1 species